CCUACGGGGGGCAGCAGUGGGGAAUAUUGGACAAUGGGCGAAAGCCUGAUCCAGCCAUGCCGCGUGUGUGAAGAAGGCCUUCGGGUUGUAAAGCACUUUCAGUGGGGAAGAAAGCCUUGGGGCUAAUACCCUCGGGGAAGGACAUCACCCACAGAAGAAGCACCGGCUAACUCCGUGCCAGCAGCCGCGGUAAUACGGAGGGUGCGAGCGUUAAUCGGAAUUACUGGGCGUAAAGCGCGCGUAGGCGGUCUGAUAAGCCGGUUGUGAAAGCCCCGGGCUCAACCUGGGAACGGCAUCCGGAACUGUCAGGCUAGAGUGCAGGAGAGGAAGGUAGAAUUCCCGGUGUAGCGGUGAAAUGCGUAGAGAUCGGGAGGAAUACCAGUGGCGAAGGCGGCCUUCUGGACUGACACUGACGCUGAGGUGCGAAAGCGUGGGUAGCAAACAGGAUUAGAUACCCCAGUAGUC
rnacentral:rRNA from 1 species